GGAUAGUUUUUCUUAAGUGUAAAAAGCUUUUGGAAUAAGAGCUGGGCAAGACCGGUGCCAGCCGCCGCGGUAACACCGGCAGCUUUAGUGGUAGCUGUUUUUAUUGGGCCUAAAGCGUUCGUAGCCGGUUUGAUAAGUCUCUGGUGAAAUCCUGUAGCUUAACUGUGGGAAUGCUGGUGAUACUGUUGAACUUGAGGUCGGGAGAGGUUAGCGGUACUCCCAGGGUAGAGGUGAAAUUCUGUAAUCCUGGGAGGACCACCUGUGGCGAAGGCGGCUAACUGGAACGAACCUGACGGUGAGGGACGAAAGCUAGGGGCGCGAACCGGAUUAGAUACCCGGGUAGUCCUAGCCGUAAACGAUGCGGACUUGGUGUUGGGGUGGCUUUGAGCUGUUUCGGUGCCGUAGGGAAGCUGUUAAGUCCGCCGCCUGGGAAGUACGGUCGCAAGACUGAAACUUAA
rnacentral:rRNA from 1 species